UACAGAGGGGGCAAGCGUUGUUCGGAAUUACUGGGCGUAAAGGGCGCGUAGGCGGCCUGUUAAGUCGAACGUGAAAUCCCCGGGCUCAACCCGGGAACUGCGUUCGAGACUGGCAGGCUCGAAUCCGGGAGAGGGAUGUGGAAUUCCAGGUGUAGCGGUGAAAUGCGUAGAUAUCUGGAGGAACAUCGGUGGCGAAGGCGGCAUCCUGGACCGGUAUUGACGCUGAGGCGCGAAAGCCAGGGGAGCAAACGGG
rnacentral:rRNA from 1 species